rnacentral:sRNA from 1 species
GCGGUUCUCGGCCGGGACAGCAGAACGCCAGGGGACCCUCACCUGGGCGCGCCGGGGCACGGGCUUUGAUUGUCUUGGGGUCUCGGAGACCCGCGCGCCUGCCCUGCACGCCGGGCGGCACCCUUUGCAGUCGCGUUGGCGGCUGCGAUCCGCCGGCGUGUCCCUGCCGAAGCCUCGGCUGCUUCGGUCCACCUCUUACACUUCUUCAUUUAUCCGUGGAUCAUUUCAAGAGUCCGUGUUGUAAAUGUUUGGCACUUUGCUACUUUAUUGCUUCUUUCUGGCUGCAGUUCCAGCACUCGCCGAGACCGGCGGAGAAAGGCAGCUGAGCCCGGAGAAGAGCGAAAUAUGGGGACCCGGGCUAAAAGCAGACGUCGUCCUUCCCGCCCGCUAUUUCUUUAUUCAGGCAGUGGAUACAUCAGGGAAUAAAUUCACAUCUUCUCCAGGUGAAAAGGUCUUCCAGGUGAAAGUUUCAGCACCAGAGGAGCAAUUCACUAGAGUUGGAGUCCAGGUUUUAGACCGAAAAGAUGGGUCCUUCAUAGUAAGAUACAGAAUGUAUGCAAGCUACAAAAAUCUGAAGGUGGAAGUUAAAUUCCAAGGGCAACAUGUGGCCAAAUCCCCAUAUAUUUUAAAAGGGCCGGUUUACCAUGAGAAUUGUGACUGUCCUUUGCAAGAUAGUGCAGCCUGGCUGCGGGAGAUGAGCUGCCCAGAAACCAUUGCUCAGAUUCAGAGAGAUCUGGCACAUUUCCCUGCUGUGGAUCCAGAAAAGAUUGCAGUAGAAAUCCCACAAAGAUUUGGACAGAGGCAGAGCCUAUGUCACUACACCUUAAAGGAUAACAAGGUUUAUAUCAAGACUCAUGGUGAACAUGUAGGUUUUAGAAUUUUCAUGGAUGCCAUACUACUUUCUUUGACUAGAAAAGUGAAGAUGCCAGAUGUGGAGUUCUUUGUUAAUUUGGGAGACUGGCCUUUGGAAAAAAAGAAAUCCAAUUCAAACAUCCAUCCGAUCUUUUCCUGGUGUGGCUCCACAGAUUCCAAGGAUAUCGUGAUGCCUACCUAUGACUUGACUGAUUCUGUUCUGGAAACCAUGGGCCGGUGAGAGAUAAGUCAGGGUUGGCCCAGAGCCUUGGUUUUCUUUCUUUGGUGAGUUCUUUUGCAACAACCUUUGUGAUAUGAUGAUUUGAGAGGAAAAUCUGUUGCACUUUGUCUUCUAGGGUAAGUCUGGAUAUGAUGUCCGUGCAAGCUAACACGGGUCCUCCCUGGGAAAGCAAAAAUUCCACUGCUGUCUGGAGAGGGCGAGACAGCCGCAAAGAGAGACUCGAGCUGGUUAAACUCAGUAGAAAACACCCGGAACUCAUAGAUGCUGCUUUCACCAACUUUUUCUUCUUUAAACACGAUGAAAGCCUGUAUGGUCCCAUUGUGAAACACAUUUCAUUUUUUGAUUUCUUCAAGCAUAAGUAUCAAAUAAAUAUUGAUGGCACUGUAGCAGCUUAUCGCCUGCCAUAUUUGCUAGUUGGUGACAGUGUUGUGCUGAAGCAGGACUCCAUCUACUAUGAACAUUUUUACAAUGAGCUGCAGCCCUGGAAACACUACAUUCCAGUUAAGAGCAACCUGAGCGAUCUGCUAGAACAACUUAAAUGGGCAAAAGAUCACGAUGAAGAGGCCAAAAAGAUAGCAAAAGCAGGGCAAGAAUUUGCAAGAAAUAAUCUCAUGGGCGAUGACAUAUUCUGUUAUUAUUUCAAACUUUUCCAGGAAUAUGCCAAUUUACAAGUGAGUGAGCCCCAAAUCCGAGAGGGCAUGAAAAGGGUAGAACCACAGACUGAGGACGACCUCUUCCCUUGUACUUGCCACAGGAAAAAGACCAAAGAUGAACUCUGAUAUGCAAAAUAACUUCUAUUAAAAUAAUGGUGCUCUGAAGACUCUUCUUAACUAAAAAGAAGAAUUUUUUUAAGUAUUAAUUCCAUGGACAAUAUAAAAUCUGUGUGAGUGUUUGCAGUAUGAAGACACGUUUCUACUUAUUAUGCAGUAUUCUCAUGACUGUACUUUAAAGUACAUUUUUAGAAUUUUAUAAUAAAACCACCUUUAUUUUAAA